GUGAAUCAUCGAAUUUUUGAACGCAAAUUGCACUACCUGGUAUUCCGGGGAGUAUGCCUGUUUGAGGGUCGUUAGAAUAAAAAAUCGAGGCGUCGCUCUUUUUUUACGGGUGAGCGCGUCGAAAUUGAGCCGUCUUUCAAAUGUUAAUUCAUGUCAAAAUUGCUUGAAAUUCAUCCUUCCAGUACGAUUACAGCGUAUUUACAAUCA
rnacentral:misc_RNA from 1 species